UACAGAGGGUGCAAGCGUUGUUCGGAAUUAUUGGGCGUAAAGCGCGUGUAGGCGGCUUUGCAAGUCGGGUGUGAAAGCCCUCAGCUCAACUGAGGAAGUGCGCCCGAAACUGCAGAGCUUGAGUGCCGGAGAGGGUGGCGGAAUUCCCCAAGUAGAGGUGAAAUUCGUAGAUAUGGGGAGGAACACCGGUGGCGAAGGCGGCCACCUGGACGGUCACUGACGCUGGAGACGCGAAAGCGUGGGUAGCAAACAGG
rnacentral:rRNA from 1 species